CUAUUGUUUUGUUCAGCUUUUUGCAGCAGGUUCCAAUCAUCUGUCCACCUUUUGCAUUGAUCAUCCAAAGUGUCUCUGUGUUCAAAGCUGUUGGCAUUCUGCCUUACUCACUAUUUGUUUCCUUUCCAAGCUUUUGUUUCUUCCUUUCCUUAUCCAACAGUUUUUUCUUUUCUGCUCCUCUUACCUCCAAAUGGUAUUUUGCUUUAAAAUUCUCCAAAGGUCUUUUCCCUUGAGCUUGCUCUCCAUUGGUCUAGCUCAAGGAUAGGGAACGUGUAGCCCUCCAGAUGCUGCUGGACUAUAACUUCCAUCCCUGGUCAUUGGCAUCCUGGCUGGGACUCAUGAUAUGGAUUGCUGAUCUAUCAAAAAAAAGAAGAAGAAGAAAGAGAGAAAAAGAUUCUUUGGGAUUGUCUGAAGAAAUUAUUUAUACAAAAGAAUAGAUGCUUUGUGGUAUAUCUUCUUGCAGCUGCAAAAAUAAUAUGGGCAAAAGACUCAAAAUGAUUUACUCACAGCACUAAAUGCUUCCAAAUCACUCUUUCAAAAGCUGCAGUUCCAGGCACUGCUGUUUACUGGUGUUUUGCUGGGUAGGGGGACAGAGGACAAAGAAGAAGGAAGAGCAAAUAAAUUAUAUUUUUGA